rnacentral:rRNA from 1 species
GACGAACGCUGGCGGCGUGCUUAACACAUGCAAGUCGAACGGAAAGGCCCUUCGGGGUACUCGAGUGGCGAACUGGUGAGUAACACGUGGGUAACCUGCCCUCAAGCAGGGGAUAACACUUGGAAACAGGUGCUAAUACCGUAUAACAACAAAAACCGCAUGGUUUUUGUUUGAAAGAUGGUUUCGGCUAUCACUUGAGGAUGGACCCGCGGCGUAUUAGCUAGUUGGUGAGGUAAUGGCUCACCAAGGCAAUGAUACGUAGCCGACCUGAGAGGGUAAUCGGCCACAUUGGGACUGAGACACGGCCCAAACUCCUACGGGAGGCAGCAGUAGGGAAUCUUCCACAAUGGACGAAAGUCUGAUGGAGCAACGCCGCGUGAGUGAAGAAGGGUUUCGGCUCGUAAAACUCUGUUGUUAAAGAAGAACAGGUGUAAGAGUAACUGUUUACACCGUGACGGUAUUUAACCAGAAAGCCACGGCUAACUACGUGCCAGCCGCCGCGGUAAGAC